rnacentral:rRNA from 1 species
GAUGAACGCUAGCGGCAGGCCUAACACAUGCAAGUCGAACGGUAACAGGGAUUGCUUGCAAUCCGCUGACGAGUGGCGCACGGGUGCGUAACGCGUAUAGAACCUACCCUUUACAGGGGGAUAGCCCGGAGAAAUUCGGAUUAAUACCCCAUAGUACUAUUUGGAGGCAUCUUUAAAUAGUUAAAGUUUCGGCGGUAAAGGAUGGCUAUGCGUCUUAUUAGUUAGUAGGUGAGGUAACGGCUCACCUAGACAGCGAUAAGUAGGGGCCCUGAGAGGGGGAUCCCCCACACUGGUACUGAGACACGGACCAGACUCCUACGGGAGGCAGCAGUGAGGAAUAUUGGACAAUGGUCGAGAGACUGAUCCAGCCAUGCCGCGUGCAGGAAGACGGCCCUAUGGGUUGUAAACUGCUUUUUUACGGGAAGAAUAAUGCCCACGUGUGGGCAGAUGACGGUACCGUAGGAAUAAGGACCGGCUAACUCCGUG